GGCUGGCCCAAGUGCAGUGGUGUCUACAACAAAUUAAUCACAACCAGUGGCAGAUUUCUUUGUUCCUUCUCCACUCCCACUGCUUCACUUGACUAGCCUUAA
ensembl:Y_RNA Y_RNA Y RNA